AACGAACGCUGGCGGCAUGCCUAACACAUGCAAGUCGAACGAAGGCUUCGGCCUUAGUGGCGCACGGAUGCGUAACGCGUGGGAAUCUGCCCUUGGGUCUGGGAUAACGGCGGGAAACUGCCGCUAAUACCGGAUGAUAUCGCGAGAUCAAAGAUUUAUCGCCUGAGGAUGAGCCCGCGUAGGAUUAGGUAGUUGGUGUGGUAAAGGCGCACCAAGCCGACGAUCCUUAGCUGGUCUGAGAGGAUGAUCAGCCACACUGGGACUGAGACACGGCCCAGACUCCUACGGGAGGCAGCAGUGGGGAAUAUUGGACAAUGGGCGCAAGCCUGAUCCAGCAAUGCCGCGUGAGUGAUGAAGGCCUUAGGGUUGUAAAGCUCUUUUACCCGGGAAGAUAAUGACUGUACCGGGAGAAUAA
rnacentral:rRNA from 1 species